AAUUUCCCUAAUCCACAAUUCUCCUUCCUGUGUCUCUUUAUUGCCAAAUACACACAGGUCCAUGUUUUCCUUAGGACUCAAAGUAUUUCUGUUCCACAAAAAUAUGGAAUAAUCCCUGGGAGGUGUCUAUGGACACAGCAGUUUGAAGACAGUUGUGAUUCUCAACCACAAGGCCAAUUACACACAGAGGAAAGAUGGAAGGCAAGGCUUCACGACUCAGAGUUGGAUCGAAUGAGAACUGAGGACCGCCUCUGUCUGUCCCCACUCACCCCGGUGGACAGCCAUUCCCCCACUGCUCGAGAGCCUCACAGAUGGCAGCAGGCACUGUGAUUCGGUGCAGAGCACACACGAGGCACGUCCCCAACCGUGGGCUGUUGGGCACACCACUCACCGUCGAAGACUCCUAGUUUCCUCACUAGGAAUUCCUGCCAUGGUGCCCAUCCUAUAGGAUGGCAAGUGGACAAAAGUGCUUGGGAAAGCACCCGGUGUACCAGGGCACCUCCCAAUGUUUGUGGAAAGCUGAAAUUGAAAGGUAACUUUAUUUUGGUGCAGAAAAGAAUUUGAAACCCACGCCUAGCUUUUUCAUAAUAUACAUUUUCCAUGAACUUUCUGAAGACCCCACCAUGCAGGGAUUUCAAUUAUUUUUUCCACCAAAAUAAACUUGCUUUUUAAUUCCAUUCUUUCCAGGAACUUUUGAGUCCACCUGUACUUUAUAUAUUGGGGUUUUUUGUUUGUUUUUACUUUCAUUAUAAGUAAUGUCACUUCAGGAACACUGAUUGACUUGAGUGUAAGGUUGCCAAGUAAAAUGCAUGACCCCUGGGGAUGGACAUUUGGUUCAGUGUUUAAAAAGCGCCACUUGGGAUACCCGCAUCUCAUAUUGGAGUGCUUGGGGCUGGAGUACUGGCUUUGCUUCUGACUCCAGCUUCAAGGUAGCAGGUAGUGAUAGGGGGUUAUAGUGCCUUGGGUCCCUGCCACAUAUGCGAGAGUCCCGGAUUCAUUCCUGACUCCAGGCUUCAGAUGCUGGGGACAUUUGGAGAGUGAACACAGUGCAUGGAAGAUCUCUGUCUGUCUAGCUCUGCCUCUCAAAUGUAAAUCAAUAAAUAAAUAUUAAAAAAUAAAAUGUAGGGCAUCUAGUUACCUUUUAAUUUCUGAUGAACAAUAUAGUUUUUAAAAUUAUAAGUACAUACAAAACUUUAGUUUAUUGUGCGAGACAUACUAAAAAUAUGUUUGUUUCCCUCUCUGAAACUCUAAUGUAACCUGGUGUCCUGUCUUGUCUUUUGCUAUUUCUAGCAACCUUACUCGAGUUCAGCUGAGGGAUGUAGGCUGUUACCAGAUCUUCUCAGAGAAAGAAGAAAUCACUGUACUUGUAGAACAAACUACUACCUUGAGAGGACCUGUCUGCAAGUCUUUGAACUUGAAAGAGCUUUUCGUUCUGAGCUUGAAAACAAAAGCAGGAGCUGCCGUGGGGAACAGUGAGUGUAUAAGCCACCACUUGGGACACCUGCAUCCGAUUCUGGAGUUCAUUGCCUACGUGCCUGCAACAGCCAGGAGUGGGCCAGGCGGAAGCCAGAAGCCAGGGAUUCAGGUCUCCCACAUGGGAGGCAGGGACCCAACCAUUGAACCAUCACAUGCUGCCUCCCAGGGUGCACGCUGGCAGGGAGAUGGAACACAAGCAGAGCCAGGACUUGAACCCAGGCACUCUGAUCCAGGAUGUGGGGAUCUUAACCACUAUGCCAAAUGCUCAGCCCUGUCUCUAAUACUUUAAAAAACUUGAUCUCAGGGGCUGGCACCAUGGCUCACUAGGCUAAUCCUCCACCUAGCGGUGCCGGCACACGGGGUUCUAGUCCCGGUCGGGGCACCGGAUUCUGUCCCGGUUGCCCCUCUUCCAGGCCAGCUCUCUGCUGUGGCCCGGGAGUGCAGUGGAGGAUGGCCCAAGUCCUUGGGCCCUGCACCCCAUGGGAGACCAGGAGAAGCACCUGGCUCCUGCCUUCAGAUCAGCGCGGUGCGCUGGCCGCGGCGGCCAUUGGAGGGUGAACAAACGGCAAAAGGAAGACCUUUCUCUCUGUCUCUCUCUCUCACUGUCCACUCUGCCUGUAAAAAAAAAAAAAAAAAAAAAAAAAAUAAAACACUUGAUCCCAGGAUCUGAGCCCCCCGGCUCACCUGCCCAUCAUAGCUGAUACACAAAAAGCUGUUGACACUCUACGGAAGAAUAUGUGAUCAACGAGGCAUACACAAGAUGAGAAGAACCCUGUUUUGUCAUUGAUUUGCUGCUGAACCAUGCCAUGCAGCGGCCCCGCCUAACUGCACAGUAGCUUCCAGGUGCAACCAGACCAGCAGGGAAAGACUGCAGCGGCAUCGCCCUGUCCUGGGGACACACAGGGCAAUGAAGACAAGCACCUGGGGAGAGCCAGGGUACUGCGCAGUCGAAUGUGUCACACUACUGCCAAGAAAUGGGAGCUGGAAGGUUUGGGCUCGGUUAGUGGAAAAAUUGAAAUAGAAAUCAAGAUCAACCAUGAAGGAGAAGUAAACAGGGCUUGUUAUAUGCUCAGAACCAUCGCAUCAUUGCAAUGGUCUUGCCUGGUGGAACUGCAUGCUUUUGAGUCGCCUAAGGGUGAAAUAGUCCAGGUGCGGCCAUGUCCUCACAAGAAUAUUUUGGCUUCUAGUGGCACUGAUUACUGACUGCGAGUCUGGAUUGAAGUAAAAAUUGGAGAGGCAUGAUCCCAGAAUGUGCAGAAGAUGGGUCAGCAGAGCUGUUUCUUCGUGGUGGUCACACUGCCGCAACACCUGACUCCCCCUGGAGUCCCGGUGAGCCCUGGUGAUGCACUGUGUGUCAGGACCCAGUGCCAGGCACAUGGGGCAAGUGAAGGCAGCACGGAUGGGAGGACGAGGAUCCCAGGUUGUCCGCUCUUCCUGUUGUUUUAGCCUCCCCCCCACCCCGCUUCCCCUAACCCUGAGAUUGAUUUAGCACUCUGAGACAGGGCAACCCCUUGUGUGAUAGGUACCACCAACACAAUGCUAGUAGCUCAAACAGUGGUUAUUUUCUAAGUAUUAACUGGAAGAUGUGAUUCACCAAAGUAACAGCAUACAUUUCAACUUUCUUCAAUAAUUUUCUAAUAACAAACCUGCAUCUAGAAAGUAGAAUAUGGAGUGACAUUUGCAUUCGACCUGACAGUUCUAAACUCCAUUUUUGAUGCCUGCAUGUCAUAUCGAAGUGGCUGGAUUUCAGCCCCAGAUCUGCUCCUGAUUCCGGCUUCCUGCUACUGUCCCCCCUCCUGCCUCUGACUGGGGAGGCAACAGAUGAUGGCUUCAGGGGUUGGGUCCCUGCCAUCCAUGUGGGAGACAUGUACGAAGUGCCCAGAUGUUGGUUGCAGCCUGACCCAGCCCUGGCUGUUACAGGCAUUUAGGAAAUGAAUCCGCCUAUGAGAGCUCUGUGUGUCUGUUUGUCUGUACCUCUCAAGUAAAUAAAUAAAACUUUUUUUAAAAGGGAAUUAUUAUGUGAGAUUUUUUUUAAUGCUGUAUACAUGCCAUGUUUUUCAGAUUCACUUAAGUAAAGGCUGCAGUGAGCAAGGAAGAGCGAAUGAGAUUACGUAAUGGCUACUGCAGAAACCCUGAAGGCAGGGACAAGCACAGGGUGGACGAAGUGGUAAAAACCCUAUUUCAAACUGGGAAGGUGGAAGAGGAUUCCAGGAGAGACCAAAACUUAAGCCUCUCUGGGCCUGGGUAUGUAUAUUGGAACGUGUGUGAAUGCAGUUUGAGAAAGGUAUGGGGGACCAGUGCCGUGGCAUAGUGGGUAAAGCUGUCACCUGUAGUGCCAGCAUCCCAUAUGGGCACCGGUUCCAGUCCUGGCUGCUCUGCUUCUGAUCCAGCUCUCUGCUAUGGCCUGGGAAAGCAGUAGAAGAUGGCCCAAGGUGGGCCUCUGCACCUACGUGGGAGAUCCGGAAAAAGCUCCUGGCUCCUGGCUCCUGGCUUCGGAUCGGUGCAGCUCCGGCAGUUGCAGCCAAUUGGGGAGUGAACCAGCAGAUGGAAGACCUCUUUCUCUCUCUGUCUCUCCUUCUCUCUGUGUGUAACUCUGACUUUCAAAUAGAUACAUAAAUCUUAGAGAGGGAGAGAGUGAGAGAGAGAGAGAGAGAUGGAAGGGUGUGCAUCAGGCUGUGACUCUCUUGCUGCAGAGAAAUGGGGUGAGAUGGUAGAUGGGAACAAACUUUCAAAUGUCAACUCCCCCCUCCAAUGGAUCAUAACAAGCAUGGAUAACUUUGUAUUUAAGAAGUCAAUAAAAAUAAACUAAGUUUUUUUUAUUAUUGUUGAAUAAAAGUAUUUUGUAUCCUAUAAGACACUUCAUCUUUACAGUGGAGAUGAAUCACCCUCAAUCCACACAAGUGGUUUUUACCUUUCCGGUAAAAGUAAAGAGUGAAUUUCAAAAAGAAAAUUGGCUAUCCCAUGACACCCCAAGGCCCCAGUUAUCUAGGAAGAGAGUGUUGGAGAUUGGAAGCCUGAACAGAAAGUGGAGUCGUGUGGCCGAUGGUUACAACCCCCGCCGUCUGGCCCAUCAGCACAGGGACCCCGGCCCAUGGGUGCAAUAACCCAGGCAGUUAUCAGUGCAGUGGAGUCACUCUGGCCAGGAAGUGCGCAGGGACCCAUAACGGCUUAAGCUGGGUUCACGCCGGUGCCGUGGCUCACUAGGCUAAUCCUCCGCCUUGCGGCGCCGGUACACCGGAUUCUAGUCCCAGUUGGGGCACCGGAUUCUAUCCCGGUUGCCCCUUUUCCAGGCCAGCUCUCUGCUAGGGCCGGGAGUGCAGUGGAGGUUGGCCCAAGUCCUUGGGCCCUGCACCCGCAUGGGAGACCAGGAGAAGCACCUGGCUCCUGGCUUCGGAUCAGCACGAUGCGCCGGCCGCAGCACGCUGGCCGCGGCAGCCAUUGGAGGGUGAACCAACAGCAAAGGAAGACCUUUCUCUCUGUCUCUCUCUCUCACUGUCCACUCCGCCUGUCAAAAAAAAAAAAAAAAAAAAAGCUGGGUUCACUGUGAAGAGGCAAAGAGCACACUCUGGAGUUCCUCCUGCCCAUAGCUCCCAUGCCUGCAAGAUGCAGCCCAGAACUUGCCAUAAAUUUAGCUACAAAUCCAGCAGCUUUGCCUCACUGUUCAUCUUCCCUGGCCUGCUGGAACCUCACAACCCAACUUAUGAUCUCUCCUCUUUUAUGAGCUUCUUGCAAUUCUGCAGGGAGAAAACAACAGAACAUUUUCAUAGUUCAGGGAAGGAGCUUGUGUACAUUGUUGUACACGCACCCUUCCCAGCAAAAAAUGACAACAAAUGCAAGCAGAAUGAAGCAAAAUCAACCCUGCUGUUUUGUGGCAUGGCUCCCAAGAGUGCUUGAUCAAAUGACGCCUCUCAACAUCAGUUACAUGAUUUAACAGGCAGUCUCCCAACAGCAGCACCAAAGGACAUUGUCAUAGCUGUUAGAUCAAAAGGAUGAAGGGUGAACAAAGAAGACACAGGAAAUCCAAGGAUGGGCAGGUGCUUUCAUUGUAUGUAUCAAGGGAGUGGGUUGGACUGGACCACUGAGAACCAUCAGAGACUCUCAUGUCUGGCAGUUAGACACUUCCUUCUUUCCCUGUGUUGGUGUAGAUCACUCACUCCUUGCUCUGUGGGAAUCGCAGGCACAGAGAUUCUAAAGACUCAGACUUUCUUCCUUUCUUGAUUUCCCAAUCCUCAUUUGCCGCUUGUUGUCAGUGAUUUGCACACUGCCUCAGCUUCUAGCCAGCUCUUAAGACUUCAGAACACAGACAGAUUCUUCAGGGCUCCAGGAAGGUCUCUGAUGAGUUCUUUUUGUUUGUAAGAUUUAUUUAUUUAUUUGAAAGUCAGAGUUACAGAGAGAGAAGAAGAGGCGGCGGAGGUCUUCUGUCUGCUGGGCAGAUGGCAGCCAGGAGCCAGGAACAUCUUCCAGGUCUUCCACGUGGGUUCAGGGGCCAGGCACGUGGGCCAUCCUCCGCUGCUUUGUCAAGCCAUUAGCAGGGAGCUGGAUUGGAAAUGGAGCAGCCGGGAUUGGAACCAGCACCCGUAUGGGAUGUCGGCAUCGCCACAGGCGGCGGCUUCACUGACUGUGCUACAACGCUGGCCCCCUUCUGAGUUCUUUCAUCUCUGUCCACAGGGAUGAGUUACCAAGAUGUGGCAUAUUGAAAUUCAUCAUUCAUUUUUCAACUUUUCCCCAAAAUACGUGUUUGCCCCCUUGUAACCUGCCUGGCCUGACAUCACAUGUUGAAUGAGUCAGAGCUCUGUGACUUAAAUGCAGCUAACACUAAAAUUGUGCUAUCGAUUUCUGAUGCUCUCUUACUUUUUCCUUGUUGGUUUGUAAAAGUUGACUUCAACUAAUAUCACUCUAAAUACGUGACGCUGAGAUUCAUCCUCUUUCUCCAUUGGCCCUGUUUGCCAUCAUUUAGUAGAGUCAGCUACGUCAACAUUUUUUUUAGGAUUUCAAAAUAUGGAUUUUUCCAUUCUAAAAUAGUCGCAAACAUCCCCUUGUUGUCCAGUCUGCUGUCGGUCGCACAGAGCACAUCCCUGCUGAUGCGGUAUGUUCCUUCUGACACAUGUUACAUAGGUAAUGAAAACCAGUAGUGAUGGUGUACAGGUUUGAGCAGUAGACAACCUGGGGGAAAAUUCUGGCUUUAUUGUUUACUAUUUUGGGGCCAGUGGUGUGGCAGAGUGGGUGAAGUCACCACCUGCAACACCAGCAUCCCAUGUGGGUGCUGGUUCAUGUCCUGCCGGUUCCACUUCCAAUCCAGCUCCCUGCUAAUGGCCUGAGAAGAGCAGCAGAAGAUGGCCCAAGUGCGUGGGCCCCUGCACCCAAGAGAGACCUGGAUGAAGCUCCUGGCUCCUCAUCUCAGCCUGGCCCAGCACAGGCCAUUUUGGCCAUCUGAGGAGUGAACCAACGAAUAGAGGACCUCUCUCUCUAUCUCUGACUUUCAAAUAAAUAAAUAAAUCUUUUCAAAAUAAUUGAAAUUAUUCACUACUUUAAGCAGGUCAUCCAGCUUCUUCAGGCUCAGUUUCCUUGGCUAUCAAGCAUGCUCUUGGCAUUUAUCCCACAGGGCUUUUGUGAGGCUCAGAUGAGAGAGCAGGCAUGGGCACUUUGAAGACAUUAUUUCUGCCAUUCUGACACGCAAACUACACUGUCUUCCCCGGGAGGUACUGGACAGGACAUGGUGGCCAGUGGAGACCACACGAAGGACCCAGGUGUGGGAAGGGCCCAGGUGUCUCCUUAGGCAGCAGACUAGUGUCAUCUCACCUCUGCAGGCAUGGCUGGAAAAUACUUCCCUGAGAAGAUGCCCUUGAGUUCCGCAGCUCCGACUGGGCUUGUUCCUCGGUGAUCUCCAUUAAUGUCCACUGUGAAAUAUUUUUCUCCAACUGUGUAAGUCUCAGAAAACUCUAGAGAAUUCCAUAGUUAGGGGUUUAACACCUUAGAUGAAAAUGCAGGCUGAGGAGCAGAGGUGAUAAGUGACUCUAUUACACUAUUUAUUCCAUUCACUAAAAUAAACUAACAAGACCUUAGAGAUGUUAGCUGAAGAGAACCCUAAUAGCAUUUGCACAUCCCAUUGCAAGUAAUGCACGUUGUAUGAAUGAUGUCCAUUUGUGAGGAGACUUAUCUCUGGGAUCUCCCUUCCUGGGACAUUCCAAUAAAAUGCUUACAGUUUAAAAAUUACUUUCUAUAAAGAACAUUCCUAAUAAAAGGGAUUCACUUUUCUGACUGCAAAUUCACUCAAAUGUUCCAAGCUUUUCUGACUUAGAUCGUUGAGUGGUUGGCUGCUGAGGCUCAGCUCUCACUAACUCAACAUGGAUCUCUGAGAAGCUAGAUGCAUACUGCGGGCCUUCUGCAUGUACAGGUUCUGUGUUUGGGAUUCAACUAGCUGCAUGUGGAAAAUAUUUCCAAAAAUAGUAAUUCUGUCCUGAGUAUGUACAGAUCUUUGUUCUUCUUGUUAUUCCAGAAAAAUACCAUAGAACAGCUCAUAUUUGCGUCAUGUACAUUGUUUUAUGUAUUAGGCAACUUUUUUUGUCACUGCAACAAAAAACCUAAGACAAGCUACUUGUGAAGCAUAGAGGCUUAUUUCAGCUCACAGUUUUGGAGGUUCACAGCUCAAGAUUCAGCAUUGGCUUGGCUGUUGGGUGAGGCCAGAGAAUGGCAAUGGUGAAAUGUGUAUGGAGGAAGAAUCACAGGGUACGUCAGGAGGCAGGGAGAGAACACCUGAGCCCAACUCAGGCUUUUAUAACCAAGCCUAUCAUGAGAAUGCCUUCCUAGGGUAUUUCCCCACCAGGCCUACUUCCUAAACACUAUAACUGGAUUAAAUGUCUACUCUCAACUCAUGGCUUUGCAUGAGUUUGGGAGCCAAAGCCUGCUCAAACCAUAGCAUCUGCCUCAACUGACCUCACAUGUAACCUACAAUCAUUCCAGCCCCAAUAGUUUCAAAGUCUUAUUUCAGUUCAACGUUAAUUCAAAAGUCCAAAGUCAAAAUCUCAGCUGAGACUCAAGGCAAACUCCAGUUGUGAGUCUGCAAAACUCCAGUUGUGAGUCCCAAGUUACAUAUUUCCAAGACUGACCAGGUAGGUACAGGGUAUAGAUUUCCAUUCCAGAAGGGGGAGAGAGGGAAAUAAAAAGGAUUCACCAGACCAAAGCAAGACUGAAACCCAGUGGGGCUUGUUCCUAAAGCCCAUUUCCAACAUCUUGGACACACUGGGGUGGGGGUUCCCCACUGGGCAGCCCUGCGCCUCCAGCUUUGCUACUCACAGCCCAGGCUUUGGCUCUCACAGGUUGGAGUUUGAUGUCUGCACUGCACAAGGCAUUGGCUUCGUGGGGGCUCUCUGCAGGGGCCUGGAUCCUUUGCCAGGUCUCUACUCCCAAGUUGUCUGACAUCCUUUGACAUCCAGGUGGAGACUCCAUGCUUUUGUGGCUCUGUCGGCCUCUUUGUUCCCACACUGCUCUCAGAGGCUGCAGGCUGCUGUCCUGGGCUUUGCCAGGCAGAUACCGACCAUUGUACCCUUCUGAGAUAUCCACAUUGGCUUUUCUCGGAUGGCUUCACUACUCAUCACCGCACCUGAGUGUCCACACAGGGGCUAGAACCUUAGGGUGGAACUCUGCCUGCCCUCCCAGGCUUCCUUUGAAAUCUCAGUGGAAGUUAUGACCCCAUAAAUGCUUGCAUUCUGCACACUUUCAAAACCAGCCUGCUAUGGAUCAUGCCUAGGUCUGCCACCAGCACAGGCUGCAUCUGGUUCCACUUGAGCCAGGGCUGCAGCCCCCAAGUGCUUUGCCCAGGGAAACAAAUCCCAAGGCAGUUUUGAGCACACUUGCUGAAAGUGCCCUGGGUUUUCACAGAACAAUUCUUCCUCCUAGGCUCCUAGCCUUGUGAGGGGAGGGAAACCGGGAGGACCACUGAAAUGCUUUUGGGAUCUUUCUCCCAUUGUCUUUCUGGUCAACACAUGGCUCCCUUUGACCUGUGCUGAUCUCUUAGGCAAGCCGGUUUUCCCACUCCAUUGUCCUGUCCCCACUCCCCACUGUCUGCUCUCACAGUAAGGAUUCUGUGGGACUUGGCUGUCAGGCAGAUCUGGCCAUAUCAGAUGCCCGGGAUGCAGCCUGUGCCUGGGUUGGAAGGGCAAGACUGAUACGUCUGCACAGACUGUACUGCACAUCUCUCUCCAACCCUCCUCCAAGGUGCAGCCUCACAGCUUCUUGUGAAACCAUUAACACAAAUGCUCACUCUGAGUUCUGAUUGCCCUUGGCUUGAGUACUCUCCCAGGCUUCCUGUUGCCAAGACAUGCACAAUUACAGCCUCUCCAUCCAGCAUCAAUGCACUCUUGGGGCAGGAGCAUAGUGUUUUUAUAGGAACUAAGCACCAUUGUACUACUUUUUCUCUCACACAUGAAACCAGAGGAAGCUCAAAGAUGUGGAGUUUUCAGGACAAAUCAAAGAAGCCAACGCCAGGCUUGAGAGGGUGAGUGGACUGUGCAAGGCGAAGAGAGAGAUGGUGAGAAGUGCCUGCCAAGGGUACCCCACCAGUGCCCUAAAGACAACCCCUAGGCCCACUGGGGACAGUGGAGACCCAGCAUUCAGAAAACUGUUUAUGCAGCUGGUCUUGAAAAUUUUCUAGUUAACCAUGCAUGGACACGUUCACAACAGAAUUAACACAUGCAGUUGGGGCCGGUGCUGUGGCACAGCAGGUUAAACUGCCACCUGCAGCGCCAGCAUCCCAUAUGGAUGCCAGUCUGAGUCCCAGCUGCCCCACGGCUGACCCAGCUCCCUGCUAAUGUGCCUGGGAAAGCAUCGGAGAUGACCCAAAUGCUUGGGUCCCUGUGUCUACGUGGGAGACUCGGAUGAAGCUACUGGCUCUGACUUUGAUGGCCCAGCCCUGGCUGUUGUGGCCGUUUGGGGAGUGAACAAGCAGAUGGAAAACCUCUCUUUGUCUCUCUCUGCCUCUCUGUAACUCUGCUUUUCAAAUAAAUAAUAAAUAUUUAAAAACAAACAAACAAACACAUGCAGUCCUAUGAGUUAAGGAUCUUAGUGGAAGAUAGAGUGCCCCACAGAUUAUAGCUAUCUAAGACCAUGUCAAAAUCCUGGAUCUACUAUUUUGAAUCACUAACUCAGUGAAACCACUAAUUCCUUUUUUUAAAAAAAUUGACCAUUUUUUAGACCAGUUUGAGUUUACAGAAAAACUGAGUAGAACAUAGAGUUCUCAUAUACCCUUCUCCAUAAUUUCCCAUGUUAUUAGUGUCUUGCAUUAAUGUGAUAAAUUAUUUUUAUAUUUAUAAUAUAUUUAUAUAAAUUAUGACAUUUACCAGAUAUCUACUAUUAUCACAUUAAUUAAGGUCCAUAACAUACAUUGGAGUUCAGUCUUCAUGUUAUACAUUCUAUAGGUUUAGACAGAUGUAUAGUAACAUGUAUGCACCAAAAUAGUAUCAUACAGAAUGAUCAGAAUGAUUUCACUGCCCUAAACCCCCCUAUGCUGCUCCUAUUCAUUCCUCCAUCUCCGCUUCUCUAACUUUGACAACCAUUAAUUUUUUUAACUGUCUAUAUAGUUUUUCCCUUUCCAGAAUGUUACAGUUCAAAACAUGAAGUAUGUGGCUUCUUCAGAUUUGCUUCCUUCACUUAAUAGCAUUCAGUAACUGCUCCUCCCUAUCUUUCCAUGACUUGAAUAGCUAUUCACUUGUAGUGCUGAGUAAUAUCCUACAAUCUGGAUGUCUCACAGUUUAUUUAUCUAUUCCAUUCUUAUUACGGUUUGGGUGUUUCCAAAGGCCCACAUGUUGGAGACUUGAUCCCCAAUCUACGGUAAUGGAUUAAGGAUGGAACUUAAUCUGAGGAAAGUAUCUGAAGGUAGGGCCUUGGAAAGAUUGGGUUGGGUUGUUAGGGAGGAAGUCCAUGAUGAAUCAUGGCGGCCUUAUAAGGAGAGACCACAGACACAGGAUGAGCACGACCCUUCCCUCUGCUUCCUGGCUCACCACGAGACCCUCCCCUUCCUUGAA